GAUGAACGCUGGCGGCGUGCCUAAUACAUGCAGGUCGAGCGUACAGACGAGGAGCUUGCUCCUCUGACGUUAGCGGCGGACGGGUGAGUAACACGUGGAUAACCUACCUAUAAGACUGGGAUAACUUCGGGAAACCGGAGCUAAUACCGGAUAAUAUAUUGAACCGCAUGGUUCAAUAGUGAAAGACGGUUUUGCUGUCACUUAUAGAUGGAUCCGCGCCGCAUUAGCUAGUUGGUAAGGUAACGGCUUACCAAGGCAACGAUGCGUAGCCGACCUGAGAGGGUGAUCGGCCACACUGGAACUGAGACACGGUCCAGACUCCUACGGGAGGCAGCAGUAGGGAAUCUUCCGCAAUGGGCGAAAGCCUGACGGAGCAACGCCGCGUGAGUGAUGAAGGUCUUCGGAUCGUAAAACUCUGUUAUUAGGGAAGAACAAAUGUGUAAGUAACUAUGCACGUCUUGACGGUACCUAAUCAGAAAGCCACGGCUAACUACGU
rnacentral:rRNA from 1 species